rnacentral:lncRNA from 1 species
UCCUUACCCAGAGUUCCCUAUCCUUCCUUACCCAGAGUUCCCUCACUUACGUCCUUACCCAGAGUUCCCUCACCCUCCCUCACCCAGACUUCCUUCACUUACGUCCUUACCCAGAGUUCCCUAUCCUUCCUUACCCAGAGUCCCCUCACUUACGUCCUUACCCAGACUUCCUUCACUUACGUCCUUACCCAGAGUUCCCUAUCCUUCCUUACCCAGAGUUCCCUAUCCUUCCUUACCCAGAGUUCCCUCACUUACGUCCUUACCCAGAGUUCCCUCACCCUCCCUCACCCAGACCUUCCCCCACCCUCCCUCAAUCAUACUUUCCUCACCCCUUUCUUCACUCAGAGUUCCCUCACCUUCUGCUUUUUUUUAAUCAAUCGAGAGAAGAGUUACAACUUUCAUCCAAUUUUUGAAAAGCAAUCCAGAACCCAAAAGGUGACUUACAGGAAUUGAAAGGGUUGGGCCAGGAUGAAGGGUUGACAGAUCAAAACAUGGAUUUGAUGGAGCUAAAUCCCAGGUAAUUACAGUCCCGGAAAGGUUCCCUACACUCAAGGUCCUGGGCUAGAUUCCCUCUCAAUCGUCCACAUAUGCAGCUAGGCAAAAGAAAAGCCAACCAACCAACAAACCAAUUGAAUCCAAAUCCAGAGCCUGAGAUGACAGGGAGGAUGCAGGUCAAGCAAUGGACUUUGAACAAGGUUAAUUAAGCUCACCACCAGAUAAGAGCUGACCUUUAAAGAUGAGAAAGCAGCAAAUAAGAGCAGACAGUUGCUGUUUCAUGUCCUUAUUUGAGUGAAGGCCCAAAUCCAGUUCCUUCCACAGGAAAAUGGCUCAGUCUUCCAAAGCCGGCCAAACUUACCUUUAGGCCCCUUCUUCAGUAGGGUCCCACUUUCAAUCCUGGCCCUUGUCUAGUAUCCUACCCACUAGGAUGUCCCACUUUGUCCCAAGCCCCUGUGCUAGGCCUGCCCAUCACCUCCAUCAGUACUUUGUUUUUGGGCCACCCUCUUGAACCUCUAUCAUCUAGUCCCCACCUCUUUGGAUGAAAACUUGCUAAAUCAACCAGUCAAGCCUUAGCUAAACUCUGCUUAUAUGCAAAUGACGAAGGGCCAGAGGCAGCCAGCCCUCUAGGGCUAGCUCUUAGGUGUCCUUUGGGGUCUGCAAACUUUUCCUAUAAUGAUCCAGAUAGCAGACAUUCAGGCUUUGCCGGGCCAUAUCGUCUCUGUCACAGCUACUCUGCUGUUGUACCAAAACGGCUGUAGGGGAUAUGUAAAUGAAUGGACAUGGCUAUGUUCCGAUCAACCUUUAUUGUAGAUCUGAAAUUUACAUUUUAUACAGUUCUCCUGUAUCAUGAAAUAUUUUUCUCUUAAUUGUUUUUCAAUAAUUAAAUGUGUAGGAGUUCUUUUGUGGCACAGCGGAUUAAGGAUCUGGCGUUUUCACUGUAGUGACUUGGGUUGUC